AGUGAACGCUGGCGGUAGGCCUAACACAUGCAAGUCGAACGGCAGCACAGUAAGAGCUUGCUCUUACGGGUGGCGAGUGGCGGACGGGUGAGGAAUACAUCGGAAUCUACUUUUUCGUGGGGGAUAACGUAGGGAAACUUACGCUAAUACCGCAUACGACCUACGGGUGAAAGCAGGGGAUCUUCGGACCUUGCGCGAUUGAAUGAGCCGAUGUCGGAUUAGCUAGUUGGCGGGGUAAAGGCCCACCAAGGCGACGAUCCGUAGCUGGUCUGAGAGGAUGAUCAGCCACACUGGAACUGAGACACGGUCCAGACUCCUACGGGAGGCAGCAGUGGGGAAUAUUCGACAAUGGGCGCAAGCCUGAUCCAGCCAUACCGCGUGGGUGAAGAAGGCCUUCGGGUUGUAAAGCCCUUUUGUUGGGGAAGAAAAGCAGCAGGUUAAUACCCCGCUGUUCUGACGGUACCCAAAGAAUAAGCACCGGCUAACCUCGUG
rnacentral:rRNA from 1 species